UGAUGUUACAAAAUUGUCUUCUCAUCCCCUCCCCUCCCCUCCCCUCCCCUCCCUUACAAUCUCUCUUCCGCUUCAGCCCUUUUAGCCAUGCAUAGGUGUUAGCAAAGAAAUGCGCGCCAUGGGGAGAAAAGUCGAAAACAACCUUCUCCAGCAAAUAUGAUGGAUUUGGGACAAAACACAAAUGCUUGUUCAGUUCAAGUUCAGACAAUUGCAAUGGCAAUGGGCAGAGGAAUCUCUUCCGUUAGUACUCAAACAGCAGAACAUUAACCAGACCAUCGGUUGAAGCUUUUUAGCUCUCGUCUCCACACAGGCGAUUCCAUAAAAUCAGGAAAUCAGAGAUAUGAAGUUGGCUGAAGCGUCAAUCUCAUGCUCACACAAAGAAGCUGGAAAGUAAAAUUCAGUUGACAGAAAAUAAGGUGCUGGAUGCUUAGAACUUAGUUCUUUAAAAUGCUUCCCUAUUUGGUUUUCAAUUGAGAAGGACAAAGGAUAGAAAGUUAAAAGAAAACCCAACAUCGGUGGAAUUUGGAGGGAAAGGAAUCUUUAAGCAAAAAUAAGAUAAAACUUCUUCACGAAAUUUGGUAUAGUUUCUACAAUUACUUUUUCAUAGCUUAGUCUACAUAAAUAAACUAAGGAAAUUCGGCAAAA